AGCAGCCGCGGUAAUACGUAGGGUGCGAGCGUUGUCCGGGAAUUACUGGGCGUAAAGAGCUCGUAGGUGGUUUGUCGCGUCGUCUGUGAAAUUCCGGGGCUUAACUCCGGGCGUGCAGGCGAUACGGGCAUAACUUGAGUACUGUAGGGGAGACUGGAAUUCCUGGUGUAGCGGUGAAAUGCGCAGAUAUCAGGAGGAACACCGGUGGCGAAGGCGGGUCUCUGGGCAGUAACUGACGCUGAGGAGCGAAAGCAUGGGUAGCGAACAGGAUUAGAUACCCUGGUAGUCCAUGCCGUAAACGGUGGGCGCUAGGUGUAGGGGUCUUCCACGACUUCUGUGCCGUAGCUAACGCAUUAAGCGCCCCGCCUGGGGAGUACGGCCGCAAGGCUAAAACUCAAAGGAAUUGACGGGGGCCCGCACAAGCGGCGGAGCAUGUGGAUUAAUUCGAUGCAACGCGAAGAACCUUACCUGGGCUUGACAUAUACGGGACCGGGCCAGAGAUGGUCCUUCCCUUGUGGCUCGUAUACAGGUGGUGCAUGGUUGUCGUCAGCUCGUGUCGUGAGAUGUUGGGUUAAGUCCCGCAACGAGCGCAACCCUUGUCUUAUGUUGCCAGCACGUAAUGGUGGGGACUCGUGAGAAACUGCCGGGGUCAACUCGGAGGAAGGUGGGGAUGACGUCAAAUCAUCAUGCCCCUUAUGUCCAGGGCUUCACACAUGCUACAAUGGUCGGUACAGUGGGUUGCGAUGCCGUGAGGUGGAGCUAAUCCCUGAAAGCCGGUCUCAGUUCGGAUCGGGGUCUGCAACUCGACCCCGUGAAGUCGGAGUCGCUAGUAAUCGCAGAUCAGCAACGCUGCGGUGAAUACGUUCCCGGGCCUUGCACACACCGCCCG
rnacentral:rRNA from 1 species